rnacentral:rRNA from 1 species
GAUGAACGCUGGCGGCGCGCCUAACACAUGCAAGUCGAACGAUUAAAGCACCUUCGGGUGUGUAUAAAGUGGCGAACGGCUGAGUAACACGUGGGCAACCUGCCCCUUUCAUUGGGAUAGCCACGGGAAACCGUGGAUAAUACCGAAUACUUCGAGACUUCCGCAUGGAAGACUCGAGAAAGCUCCGGCGGAGAGGGAUGGGCCCGCGGCCUGUUAGCUUGUUGGUGGGGUAACGGCCUACCAAGGCAAUGAUGGGUAGCUGGGUUGAGAGACCGACCAGCCAGAUUGGGACUGAGACACGGCCCAGACUCCUACGGGAGGCAGCAGUGGGGAAUCUUGCACAAUGGGCGAAAGCCUGAUGCAGCGACGCCGCGUGCGGGAUGAAGGCCUUCGGGUUGUAAACCGCUUUCAGCAGGGACGAGGCGAAAGUGACGGUACCUGCAGAAGAAGCCCCGGCUAACUACGUC